CGGGGCGUGGCGCAGCUUGGUAGCGCGCUCGCUUUGGGAGCGAGAGGUCCUCGGUUCGAAUCCGAGCGCCCCGA
rnacentral:tRNA from 1 species